rnacentral:tRNA from 1 species
AGGUGAGUAGCUCAAUUGGCAGAGCACUGGUCUCCAAAACCAGCGGUUGCGGGUUCAAUUCCUGCCUCACCUGCCA